rnacentral:rRNA from 1 species
UACGUAGGGGGCAAGCGUUGUCCGGAUUUAUUGGGCGUAAAGAGCGUGUAGGCGGUUGGAUAGGUCCGUUGUGAAAACUCGAGGCUCAACCUCGAGACGCCGAUGGAAACCAUCUAACUAGAGUCCGGAAGAGGAGAGUGGAAUUCCUGGUGUAGCGGUGAAAUGCGCAGAUAUCUGGAGGAACACCGGUGGCGAAGGCGGCAUCCUGGACCGGUAUUGACGCUGAGGCGCGAAAGCCAGGGGAGCAAACGGG